GUUGGGAGCGAUCUCAGUGGCUAAGCGAAAGUGAUAAGUAUCCCACCUGGGGAGUACGUUCGCAAGAAUGAAACUCAAAGGAAUUGACGGGGGCCCGCACAAGCGGUGGAGCAUGUGGUUUAAUUCGAUGAUACGCGAGGAACCUUACCAAGGCUUAAAUGUAGAUUGACCGGUUUGGAAACAGACUUUUCGCAAGACAAUUUACAAGGUGCUGCAUGGUUGUCGUCAGCUCGUGCCGUGAGGUGUCAGGUUAAGUCCUAUAACGAGCGCAACCCCUGUUGUUAGUUGCCAGCGAGUGAUGUCGGGAACUCUAACAAGACUGCCAGUGUAAACUGUGAGGAAGGUGGGGAUGACGUCAAAUCAUCACGGCCCUUACGCC
rnacentral:rRNA from 1 species